UAUUGGUCCUCUCGCAACAAUAAGCCGUGAAUCUGGUCAGACCCGGAAGGGAGCAGCCACAGCGGUGGGUUUGGGUGCCGGGAUGUGGCUGGUAAGG
rnacentral:SRP_RNA from 1 species